AAAGAUUUAGGCUAUUUAGACCAGGAGCCUUCAAAGCCCCAAGAAGAGGCUUAUAACCCUCUAAUCUUUG
rnacentral:tRNA from 1 species